AAAAACCCACUCACUGCUCAGUAUAAAACAGGAGCCUCCCACUCCUUUCUUCCACACUACCAAGUAGACCUCUUAUGAGGAUAUUGGGACAGAAAAUGGCUUCGGCUGUGAACAGUUUUCAUCUCCUGCUGUUUGUUGUGGCUGGAUUUUGCACACAGCUCUAUCGAGGUCAUGACUUUCCUGGCCGUUGCUCAUGUCACAAUACAAUCAAAUUCAUCAAAGGCAAUAUGUCAGAUUUCCAAGUGCUUGAAAAGAGACCCGGAUGUGAUAAAAUCGAAUUGAUUGUAACUAUGAAUAGGCCAGACAAUGCCACUGAAAAGAUCUGCAUGAACACUGAGGGAAGGAUGGCCAGAGCUUUUUUUAGAUGCUGGGAAAGG